rnacentral:rRNA from 1 species
UACAGAGGUCUCAAGCGUUGUUCGGAUUCAUUGGGCGUAAAGGGUGCGUAGGCGGCGCGGUAAGUCGGGUGUGAAAUCUCGGAGCUUAACUCCGAAACUGCAUUCGAUACUGCCGUGCUUGAGGACUGGAGAGGAGACUGGAAUUCACGGUGUAGCAGUGAAAUGCGUAGAUAUCGUGAGGAAGACCAGUGGCGAAGGCGGGUCUCUGGACAGUUCCUGACACUGAGGCACGAAGGCCAGGGGGAGCAAAACGGGG